GAGCAAACAGGAUUAGAUACCCUGGUAGUCCACGCCGUAAACGAUGUCGACUUGGAGGUUGUGCCCUUGAGGCGUGGCUUCCGGAGCUAACGCGUUAAGUCGACCGCCUGGGGAGUACGGCCGCAAGGUUAAAACUCAAAUGAAUUGACGGGGGCCCGCACAAGCGGUGGAGCAUGUGGUUUAAUUCGAUGCAACGCGAAGAACCUUACCUACUCUUGACAUCCAGAGAACUUAGCAGAGAUGGUUUGGUGCCUUCGGGAACUCUGAGACAGGUGCUGCAUGGCUGUCGUCAGCUCGUGUUGUGAAAUGUUGGGUUAAGUCCCGCAACGAGCGCAACCCUUAUCCUUUGUUGCCAGCGGUUAGGCCGGGAACUCAAAGGAGACUGCCAGUGAUAAACUGGAGGAAGGUGGGGAUGACGUCAAGUCAUCAUGGCCCUUACGAGUAGGGCUACACACGUGCUACAAUGGCGCAUACAAAGAGAAGCGACCUCGCGAGAGCAAGCGGACCUCAUAAAGUGCGUCGUAGUCCGGAUUGGAGUCUGCAACUCGACUCCAUGAAGUCGGAAUCGCUAGUAAUCGUGGAUCAGAAUGCCACGGUGAAUACGUUCCCGGGCCU
rnacentral:rRNA from 1 species